rnacentral:rRNA from 1 species
UGGGGAAUUUUGCACAAUGGGGGAAACCCUGAUGCAGCGACGCCGCGUGAUUUAGAAGGCCUUCGGGUUGUAAAAAUCUUUUCUAUGGGAAGAAAAUGAUAGUACCAUAGGAAUAAGGACCGGCUAAUUACGUGCCAGCAGCCGCGGGAAUACGUAAGGUCCGAGCGUUUUCCGGAAUCAUUGGGCGUAAAGGGUACGUAGGCGGGUAAGCAAGUUAGAAGUGAAAUCCUAUAGCUCAACUAGAGUAAGCUUUUAAAACUGCUCAUCUUGGGGUAUGGAAGGGAAAGUGGAAUUCCUAGUGUAGCGGUGAAAUGCGCAGAUAUUAGGAGGAAUACCGGUGGCGAAGGCGACUUUCUGGCCAUAACCUGACGCUGAGGUACGAAAGCGUGGGUAGCAAACAAG